CAACAGAGGGAUGCAAAAACCGCGAGGUGGAGCGAACCCCUAAAAGCCGUCCCAGUUCAGAUCGCAGUCUGCAACCCGACUGCGUGAAGUCGGAAUCGCUAGUAAUCGCGGAUCAGCAUGCCGCGGUGAAUACGUUCCCGGGCCUUGUACACACCGCCCGUCACACCAUGAGAGUCGGGAACACCCGAAGUCCGUAGCCUAACCGCAAGGGGGGCGCGGCCGAAGGUGGGUUCGAUAAUUGGGGUGAAGUCGUAACAAGGUAAC
rnacentral:rRNA from 1 species